rnacentral:rRNA from 1 species
CUGGCUCUGUCAGGGUCCGAGUUGUAAUUUGUAGAAGAUGCUUCGGGUGUGGCUCCGGUCUAAGUUCCUUGGAACAGGACGUCAUAGAGGGUGAGAAUCCCGUAUGUGACUGGCUGCCUUCGCCUAUGUGAAGCUCUUUCGAC